GACGUAGGGGGCCAGCGUUGUUCGGAAUUACUGGGUGUAAAGGGCGCGUAGGCGGUCCUGAUCGUCGGAUGUGAAAGGCCUGGGCUCAACCUGGGAACUGCAUCCGAUACGGCGGGACUGGAGUGUGGGAGAGGUUGGUGGAAUUCCCAGUGUAGAGGUGAAAUUCGUAGAUAUUGGGAAGAACACCGGUGGCGAAGGUGGCCAACUGGACCACAACUGACGCUGAGGCGCGAAAGCGUGGGGAGCAAACAGG
rnacentral:rRNA from 1 species